rnacentral:misc_RNA from 1 species
UCGGCUGCCCACAGCACAAGG